UUUUGUUACAACAGGAUUUAAUUCUGAAUAUCGUUUUGAACUUUUAUAUUGCUUGUGCAAAUGUUUCUUCACUCCUGAAACUACCUGCUUCACUGGAUCACUAAUUACUAUCAGCGCAGCUCCUCAGUUCUAACCGUUCACACGCUGCCUGAGGAUUUCUCUUCUGUCCUAAUCUGACAGAUCAGCUGUUACAACGGAUAGCUAAAGUCCACUCUCUGGAUGCAGGCGCACAAGCUGCUGACUGUUGGCAAAGAAGAAAUGAGUUUCUUGUCUCCAAGAGGCACAGAUGUCCUACAAGAAGCUCUGAAAACAUGAAAAAUGUUGUAUCCAUGUUGUCAUCCUUUUGAGGCAGUAUACCAGAAAAGCAACUUGCCUUUACCCACCAAAGAUGCAGAUGUUCCUCCAUUUUUUUUACGGUUAAGGAGACAAACAGAUCUUGUUUGCUGAAUGAGAUAUAACACAUAUGUAUAUCAAAUACAUAUACACUACUGGCAGGU